rnacentral:rRNA from 1 species
UACGAAGGGGGCUAGCGUUGCUCGGAAUGACUGGGCGUAAAGGGCGCGUAGGCGGUUUGACAGUCAGAUGUGAAAUUCCUGGGCUUAACCUGGGGGCUGCAUUUGAUACGUAUGGACUGGAGUGAGGAAGAGGGUCGUGGAAAUUCCCAGUGUAGAGGUGAAAUUCGUAGAUAUUGGGAAGAACACCGGUGGCGAAGGCGGCGACCUGGUCCUUUACUGACGCUGAGGCGCGAAAGCGUGGGGAGCAAACAGGAUUGA